rnacentral:rRNA from 1 species
GAUGAACGCUGGCGGCGUGCCUAAUACAUGCAAGUCGAGCGAACGGACGAGAAGCUUGCUUCUCUGAUGUUAGCGGCGGACGGGUGAGUAACACGUGUAUAACCUACCUAUAAGACUGGGAUAACUUCGGGAAACCGGAGCUAAUACCGGAUAAUAUUUUGCACCGCAUGGUUCAAAAGUGAAAGACGGUCUUGCUGUCACUUCUAGAUGGAUCCGCGCUGCAUUAGCUAGUUGGUAAGGUAACGGCAUACCAAGGCAACGAUGCAUAGCCGACCUGAGAGAGUGAUAGGCCACACGGGAACUGGGACACGGUCCAGACUCCUACGGGAGGCAGCAGUAGGGAAUCGUCCGCAGUGGGCGAAAGCCUGACGGAGCAACGCCGCGUGAGUGAUGAAGGUCUUCGGAUCGUAAAACUCUGUUAUUAGGGAAGAACAUAUGUGUAAGUAACUGUGCACAGCUUGACGGUACCUAAUCAGAAAGCCACGGCUAACUACGUG